UACGUAGGGGGCGAGCGUUGUCCGGAGUUACUGGGCGUAAAGCGCACGCAGGCGGUCUGCUAAGUUUGGAGUGACAGUUGGUGGCUUAACUGCCAAAGUGCUUCGAAAACUGACAGACUUGAGGGCUUCAGAGGGACACGGAAUUCCGGGUGGAGUGGUGAAAUGCGUAGAGAUCCGGAGGAACACCAAAGGCGAAGGCAGCGACCUGGACAGGUACUGACACUCAACUACGAAAGCGUGGGGAGCAAACAGG
rnacentral:rRNA from 1 species